AGCAGCCGCGGUAAUUCCAGCUCCAAUAGCGUAUAUUAAAGUUGUUGCAGUUAAAAAGCUCGUAGUUGAAUUUCGGGGUCAGUAGGUUGGUCGUGCCACUGGUAUGUACUGGUCUCACUGAUUCCUCCUUCCUGAUGAGCCGUAAUGCCAUUAAUUUGGUGUUGCGGGGAAUCUGGACUGUUACUUUGAAAAAUUAGAGUGUUUAAAGCAGGCUAACGCUUGAAUACAUUAGCAUGGAAUAAUGGAAUAGGACGUUCGAUCCUAUUUUGUUGGUUUCUAGGAUUGACGUAAUGAUUAAUAGGGAUAGUUGGGGGCAUUAGUAUUCAAUUGUCAGAGGUGAAAUUCUUGGAUUUAUUGAAGACUAACUACUGCGAAAGCAUUUGCCAAGGAUGUUUUCAUUAAUCAAGAACGAAAGUUAGGGGAUCGAAGACGAUCAGAUACCGUCGUAGUCUUAACCAUAAACUAUGCCGACUAGGGAUCGGAUGAUGUUAAUUUUUUAAUGACUCAUUCGGCGCCUUAC
rnacentral:rRNA from 1 species